ACAAAGGGCGCGCGGUGGAUGCCUUGGGGCAAAGGGCCGAUGAAGGACGCGGUAAGCGGCGAUACGCCAGGGGGAGCUGCAAUCAAGCUUAGAUCCCUGGAUUUCCGAAUGGGGUAACCCACUACAGUGAUCCUGUAGUACUCCCAGAUGAACACAUAGUCUGGGUAGAGGGCAGCCGGUGAACUGAAACAUCUAAGUAACCGGAGGAAGAGAAAACAAAAGUGAUUCCGUUAGUAGUGG
rnacentral:rRNA from 1 species